AGGGCACAUGAAGGAUGCCUUGGCUCUCGGAUGCGACGAAGGACGUGACAAGCUGCGAUAAGCUGUGGCCAGGGGCAAAUACCCGCUAACAACCACAGAUUUCCGAAUGGGGCAACCCACCAUUUCGAUGGUAUCACGCAAAGCGUGAGGCUAACCCGGGGAACUGAAACAUCUAAGUACCCGGAGGAAAAGAAAACAACAGUGAUUGCGCAAGUAGUGGCGAGCGAACGCGCAGGAGCCCAAACCGUUCCUGUUACGGCAGGGACGGGGUUAUAGGACCGUCGCCGGUCCGCCGACAUCAGGUCAGCCGAACGGCUUGGAAAAGCCGGCCAUAGCGGGUGAAAGCCCCUUAGGCGAAGACCUCGACGACAGCGGCAGACGGCACCUGAGUAGUGCGGGACACGCGAAAUCCUGCAUGAAUUCACGGGGACCAUCCCGUAAGGCUAAAUAUUCCCGAGAGACCGAUAGCGAACCAGUACCGUGAGGGAAAGGUGAAAAGAACCUCGAACAGAGGAGUGAAACAGACCCUGAAAUCAUGUGCCUACAAGCGGUCGGAGCCACUUCGUGUGGUGACGGCGUGCCUUUUGCAUAAUGACCCUACGAGUUGCCCGUCCCGGCAAGGUUAAGAGCCAGAAGGUUCGGAGCCGAAGCGAAAGCGAGUCUUAACAGGGCGCAUAGUCAGGGCGGGCAGACGCGAAACCAAGUGAUCUACCCUUGGGCAGGUUGAAGGACAGGUAACACUGUCUGGAGGACCGAACCGGUAAGCGUUGAAAAGCUUUCGGAUGACCUGAGGGUAGGAGUGAAAGGCCAAUCAAACUUGGAGAUAGCUCGUACUCCCCGAAAUGCAUUUAGGUGCAGCCUCGGGCUCAGUACCGUGGAGGUAGAGCGACUGAUAGGAUGCGAGGGCUUCACCGCCUAUCAAGUCCUGACAAACUCCGAAUGCCACGGCACGAUACCCGGGAGUGAGGGCGUGGGUGCUAAGGUCCACGUCCGAAAGAGGAACAACUCAGACCAUCGGCUAAGGCCCCCAAAUACGGGCUAAGUUGAAGACAAUAACGAGGUGGAAUUGCAUAGACAGCUAGGAUGUUGGCUUGGAAGCAGCCAUUCAUUUAAAGAGUGCGUAACAGCUCACUAGUCGAGUGAUUCCGCGUGGAUAAUAAUCGGGCAUAAGUCCGUUGCCGAAGCCAUGGAAUCAGCCUUAAGGCUGAUUGGUAGGGGAGCAUUCCGGUAGCCGUCGAAGGUUUGUCGCAAGACAGGCUGGAGGUCCCGGAAAAGCAAAUGUAGGGAUAAGUAACGAUAAGGAGGGCGAGAAACCCUCCCGCCGUAAGACCAAGGGUUCCUGAUCAACGCUAAUCGGAUCAGGGUAAGUCGGGACCUAAGGCACAGCCGUAAGGCGCAGCCGAUGGACAAACGGUAAAAAUUCCGUUACCCGACGGCAGAGCGAUGUGGCGACGGAGAAGUGACACUCACGCGCACUGACGGAAUAGUGCGUUGAACUCCGUAGGUAUACCAUGGGGAGGCAAAUCCCUCCGUGGUGCUGAAAGAGGACAGUACGGAGCGUCCCCCGGGACAAUCCGACAGCUGAGGUAAUCAAGCUCCCAAGAAAACCCGCUAAGCAUAUCUGCCGCCGGCCCGUACCGUAAACGGACACACGUGGUCGGGUAGAACAUACCAAGGCGCUCGAGAGAUUCACGGUUAAGGAACUAGGCAAAUUGACCCCGUAACUUCGGGAAAAGGGGUCCCCUCCUCCGGGAGGGGCGCAGAGAAUAGGUCCAGGCAACUGUUUAACAAAAACACAGGGCUGUGCGAAAUUGAAAGACCAAGCAUACAGCCUGACACCUGCCCGGUGCCGGAAGGUUAAGAGGAGAAGUCAUCGCAAGAGAAGCUUUGAAUUGAAGCCCCGGUAAACGGCGGCCGUAACUAUAACGGUCCUAAGGUAGCGAAAUUCCUUGUCGGGUAAGUUCCGACCUGCACGAAUGGUGUAAUGAUCCGGACACUGUCUCAACCGUGAGCUCGGUGAAAUUGUAGUAUCGGUGAAGAUGCCGAUUACCCGCAACGGGACGGAAAGACCCCGUGAACCUUUACUGCAGCUUAGCAUUGAAGCCGGGUGUGCGAUGUGUAGGAUAGUCAGGAGGCAGAGAAUCGGUCACGCCAGUGAUCGAGGAGCCGACGUUGAAAUACUGACCUUUGCACAUUUGGUUUCUAACUCGCAGGCGCGAGGACACUGCUUGGCGGGUAGUUUGACUGGGGUGGUCGCCUCCAAAAGAGUAACGGAGGCUUCUAAAGGUGCGCUCAGGCCGAUUGGUAACCGGCCGUAGAGUGUAAUGGCACAAGCGCGCUUGACUGUGAGACCGACAAGUCGACCAGGUAGGAAACUAGAGCAUAGUGAUCCGGUGGUUCCGCAUGGAAGGGCCAUCGCUCAAAGGAUAAAAGGUACUCCGGGGAUAACAGGCUGAUCCCUCCCAAGAGCUCAUAUCGACGGAGUGGUUUGGCACCUCGAUGUCGGCUCGUCACAUCCCGGGGCUGGAGAAGGUCCCAAGGGUUAGGCUGUUCGCCUAUUAAAGUGGCACGCGAGCUGGGUUCAGAACGUCGUGAGACAGUUCGGUCCCUAUCUGUUGUGGGCGCAGGAGAUUUGCGAGGCCCCGACACUAGUACGAGAGGACCGUGUUGGACAGACCUCCGGUGUGCCGGUUGUUCCGCCAGGAGCACCGCCGGGUAGCCGCGUCUGGUAAGGAUAAGUGCUGAAAGCAUCUAAGCACGAAGCCCCCCUCAAGAUAAGAUUUCCAUAUAAGGGUCGUCAGAGACGAUGACGUCGAUAGGUCGCAGGUGCAGGGACGGUAACGUCUACAGCCGAGCGAUACUAAUCACCCAAACCCUUUCCG
rnacentral:rRNA from 1 species